AUUCCUGCCUACCUGAAGUGAAGCUUUCCAUGGGUAACUAAUUCUAAUGACCUGGUAUGCUGCAACAAAGCCUAAGCCACGUCUUCAUUGGCAGCUGAAGCCAGUACUGUUACCCCAACAGGAUUACUGAUCAUCUUUGGAAUUCUAUUGGAGAGUAGAGGCCUGCCAUCUUAGUGGCAUGCAGUUAAUGACUCGUAUGGGAAGGUUACUACAAUAUCCAGUUUUGAUCUUCAGCUACCAGUUUGCAGAUCCAAAACACCCAGUGACUUCACUGUGCCCUCGUGUAAAUGUUGAUAAGUGAGGUGUAACUAUUUACAAACUGGAAAAUUGAGAAACCGGUCUGAAGAGUCCUAUAGGCAAUAGGGAAAUGGCCUUCUGGCUUAUGAAAUUAAUGAACAAGCAGAAUGAUUUGUGAAAAACAACUGUUUUAUAGGACCACCACCUGCAGUAUGGGCUGACUCCCACAAUGUGGAAGAAAUCCAGAACAUCAUUUCAGAUUAAUUUCUUGACAUCUCAACUUUGUCCUGCACCCCAUCCACCAACACAGAACAUACUCAAGAGUAACAAAGAUAUUUCUGGUGACACACUGCAGCCAUGGGAAAUUGGAAUGCAAGUCAUGCCAUAUCUACUGACAGCUCAUAAAGUACUCCACAGCAGUGCAGAAGAUGUAUUUUCUAUGCCUGAAGAUCAUGUUAGCUUGGUCCGGGUUUUGCUAAAUAGUACUGAACUUUUGGCUGUUUAUUCCCAACUCUGUGAUGUCAGCUGGCCUCCCUGGAAGCCAGACUCCAAUUGCGGCAACCAUUCUGUACACGCACAUUGCAUGGAAAGAGUUACCUAGUAAUAAAAAACAUAUGAAGCUCUGAGAUCAGUUCCCUCUUUUUCCUCCCUAGGUGUUCCUUCGUGGUUGUGAUUUGUGCACAAGCCUAUAGAAAAUGCUGCAUUUUCAAGCCAAGAUAUACAAAGUGUUUGAGGCUCCCAGUUCCUAUUUAAGCAUCUUACCUUGGGUUCCUAAAAGUGAAUGGGGGCCUAAAUACCUUUGCAGGUCUGGCCCGCAGUACCCAAUGCAAAUGUAGGCAAGGGAAAGGAGUGAGGUUUCACAUUGCUGCCCACUGACCAUUGCUCACUCUGAACUCUCAGCCCAAAUGGUUUCUGGAAUCAUUUGGCAUUCAGCUGGCUUGGGUUUUAUUACACAUUUAUUACACAGAUGCAUUCAAUUGCUUCAUGUACAAUUAAUGUUCUAGCACUCACAAAACUGACCACUGAUUUAGAAUCCACCUUAUUCUAGAGUUUCUCUCAUCCCAAGAUAGUGUUUAAAAUAAUUCACAGGAUCCCCUUCCUUAAACUUUCUCGUAUGGGCUGUGUGCAUUCUUUUGCAAAACAAAGCAAACACAGUUGGAAGGUCUUUAACUGGUAAUGGGCUUUGGCCUAAUUGCUUUGACAAGACAGAGUUAUGAUAUUAUGCAUCAGUUUAGGAUUAAAACCAUUCAACCUGCAAUUACAUACUGUUUUUCAAGGGAAUUAGGUUGCCACAUCUUAAAAUGAUUUGACAAUUAAGACUAUUUGCAAUAUCUUGAAAAUUCUAUCCUGAAGUCCUUAUUCAGACCUUCGUUUCCAUUGGAGCUUCAUGAAAUUAUUCUUCAUCUUUUUUCUCUUGAUAGCAACACACCUGAUCAUACUCAUAAUUCUCUCUUCCUUGACACUAUGAGCAACUUUAGCAGGAGAGUUAUUCAGUUCCCCAGUAUGUGUAGCAUACAUCUUAAUCUUAAUAAAAAUUUCACUGAG
rnacentral:lncRNA from 1 species